rnacentral:RNase_P_RNA from 1 species
GGAGUCAGCCAGACCGCCGCUGGUGCAAGUGCCGAAAGGCCGCACUGGAGGAAGGUCCGGACUGCAUAGAGCAGCGUAGCGGGUAACGCCCGUCCACCGCGAGGUGCGAAUCAGAGCCACAGAGACGAGUCGGCAGUGGGCGCUUCGGCGCCUGGGUUCCUUGGCAUGCCAGGGGACGACGCUGCCGGGUGAAACGCGGCAAUCUUUACGCGCAGCAACACCAAAUAGGCCAGCUUUGACGCGGCUCGCUGAGCUGGCGGGUAGGUGGCACCGAGCCGGGGCGGCAACGUCCUGGCCCAGAGGAAUGGCGGUCACGCCGGGUCCGCGAGGGCCUGGUGCACAGAAUCCGGCCUAUCGGCUGGCUCCACAC